rnacentral:rRNA from 1 species
GAUGAACGCUGGCGGCGUGCCUAAUACAUGCAAGUCGAGCGAACAGACGAGGAGCUUGCUCCUCUGACGUUAGCGGCGGACGGGUGAGUAACACGUGGAUAACCUACCUAUAAGACUGGGAUAACUUCGGGAAACCGGAGCUAAUACCGGAUAAUAUAUUGAACGGCUGGAUUCAAGGGUAAAUCGGGGUUUGCCUGCAUCUAUUAGAGGAUUCCGGGCCGCAUUAGCUGGUUGGUAAGGUAACGGCUUACCAAGGAAACGAUGCGUAGCCGACCUGAGAGGGUGAUCGGCCACACUGGAACUGAGACACGGUCCAGACUCCUACGGGAGGCAGCAGUAGGGAAUCUUCCGCAAAGGGCGAAAGCCUGACGGAGCAACGCCGCGUGAGUGAUGAAGGUCUUCGGAUCGUAAAACUCUGUUAUUAGGGAAGAACAAAUGUGUAAGUAACUAUGCACGUCUUGACGGUACCUAAUCAGAAAGCCACGGCUAACUACGUG